CCUACGGGAGGCAGCAGUAAGGAAUAUUGGUCAAUGGGCGCAAGCCUGAACCAGCCAUGCCGCGUGCAGGAUGACGGCCCUCUGGGUUGUAAACUGCUUUUAUACGGGAAGAACAGCAUCUACGUGUAGGUGUUUGACGGUACUGUAAGAAUAAGGACCGGCUAACUUCGUGCCAGCAGCCGCGGUAAUACGAAGGGUCCAAGCGUUAUCCGGAUUUAUUGGGUUUAAAGGGUGCGUAGGCGGCUUUUUAAGUCAGUGGUGAAAGCCUGAUGCUCAACAUCAGAACUGCCAUUGAUACUGAAGAGCUUGAGUACAGUUGAGGUUGGCGGAAUGUGUCAUGUAGCGGUGAAAUGCUUAGAUAUGACACAGAACACCGAUUGCGAAGGCAGCUAGCUAAGCUGUUACUGACGCUGAUGCACGAAAGCGUGGGGAGCAAACAGGAUUAGAUACCCUGGUAGUCCACGCCCUAAACGUUGAUAACUCGUUGUUAGCGAUAUACUGUUAGCGACCAAGCGAAAGCAUUAAGUUAUCCACCUGGGAAGUACGGUCGCAAGAUUGAAACUCAAAGGAAUUGACGGCNGAGAGNGCGAGGACGACGACGAGGGAGAGG
rnacentral:rRNA from 1 species